rnacentral:rRNA from 1 species
UACCAGCACCCCGAGUGGUCGGGACGUUUUAUUGGGCCUAAAGCAUCCGUAGCCGGUUCUACAAGUCUUCCGUUAAAUUCAACUGCUUAACAGGUGGGCUGCGGAAGAUACUAUAGAGCUAGGAGGCGGGAGAGGCAAGCGGUACUCGAUGGGUAGGGGUAAAAAUCCGUUGAUCCAUUGAAGACCACCAGUGGCGAAGGCGGCUUGCCAGAACGCGCUCGACGGUGAGGGAUGAAAGCUGGGGGGAGCAAACCGG